UGUGCAGCUUUGCCUAUUGGCUUAGAUCAAGUGUAGUAUCUGGUAACUACUUUCUUCUUUGUCAACGAAACCUAACUAAUUCCUUCAGUUCUUUUCAGUUUAAUCUCUGAAAGUCCUCUACGGAGGACACAUUGAUUAUACUUAUUUUUGUAGACUGCUUCAGGACCUCUGAGCUUGCUCAUGUUCUUUAGCAUUGUGUCAUCGGUAUUACACUGCUUCCGAUUGACGCGAACUUUC
rnacentral:snRNA from 1 species